GAAAUGCGAUAAGUAAUGUGAAUUGCAGAAUUCAGUGAAUCAUCGAAUCUUUGAACGCACAUUGCGCCCCCCGGGAUUCCGGGGAGCAUGCCUGUUCGAGCGUCUCCGGGACGACUACUCACGCUGGCGUACGCGUGGUGAUGGCGGCGGUGGCGGCCCCGAGACGGGGGGCCACCGAGCCGGAAUGCAUGGGCGGUCGCCUGCCGCGUGGCCGAGCGUGAUACGACGCAAUCGGCGCUCCCUCGCGGCGAGGCUGCCAGCCCCCGGGCCCGCGCCGGCGGGCGGGGAGACAAUGACCCCUACGAACUCCUCGAAUCAGGUAGGGAUACCCGCUGAACUUAA
rnacentral:misc_RNA from 1 species